rnacentral:rRNA from 1 species
GGCAUUGUUGGUUUCUCCCUUCUGACGAACCAAGAUGUCAUUUAUCUGGUGUUGUGGGGAAUCAGGACUGUUACUUUGAAAAAAUUAGAGUGUUUAAAGCAGGCUCACGCUUGAAUACAUUAGCAUGGAAUAAUGAAAUAGGACGUUUGAUUCUAUUUUGUUGGUUUCUAGGAUCGACGUAAUGAUUAAUAGGGAUAGUUGGGGGCAUUAGUAUUCAAUUGUCAGAGGUGAAAUUCUUGGAUUUAUUGAAGACUAACUACUGCGAAAGCAUUUGCCAAGGAUGUUUUCAUUAAUCAAGAACGAAAGUUAGGGGAUCGAAGACGAUCAGAUACCGUCGUAGUCUUAACCAUAAACUAUGCCGACUAGGGAUCGGAUGAUGUUAAUUUUUUAAUGACUCAUUCGGCGCCUUACG